CAGCCGCCACGGGAAUACGAGUGGUGCAAGCGUUAUUCGGAAUUAUUGGGCGUAAAGGGUGUGCAGACGGUUUGUUAAGUCACUUGUUAAAUUCUCCGGCUUAACCGGAGGCCAGCAUGUGAAACUAGCAGACUAGAGGGUGAGAGAGAGAGGUGGAAUUCUCGGAGUAGCGGUAAAAUGCGUAGAUCUCGAGAGGAACACCAAUGGCGAAGGCAGCUUCUUGGCUCACCCCUGACGUUCAUACACGAAAGCGUGGGGAGCAAACAGGAUUAGAUACCCGAGUAGUCCCUGUCUCUUAUAC
rnacentral:rRNA from 1 species